rnacentral:rRNA from 1 species
UACGUAGGGGGCAAGCGUUGUCCGGAUUUAUUGGGCGUAAAGAGCGUGUAGGCGGCCAGGUAGGUCAGCUGUGAAAACUCGAGGCUCAACCUCGAGACGUCGGUUGAAACCACCUGGCUAGAGUCCGGAAGAGGAGAGUGGAAUUCCCGGUGUAGCGGUGAAAUGCGCAGAUAUCGGGAAGAACACCCGUGGCGAAGGCGGUUCUCUGGGACGGUACUGACGCUGAGACGCGAAAGCGUGGGGAGCGAACAGG